rnacentral:rRNA from 1 species
CACGUAGGAGGCGAGCGUUGUCCGGAAUCAUUGGGCGUAAAGAGCGCGCAGGCGGCUUGGCAAGUCGGGUGUGAAAUCCCGGGGCUCAACCCCGGGACUGCAUUCGAUACUGUCAGGCUAGAGGUAGGUAGGGGAGAGCGGAAUUCCUGGUGUAGCGGUGAAAUGCGCAGAUAUCAGGAGGAACACCGGUGGCGAAGGCGGAUCUCUGGGCCUUACCUGACGCUCAGGCGCGAAAGCUAGGGGAGCGAACAGG